GAUGAACGCUGGCGGCGUGCCUAAUACAUGCAAGUCGAACGCAUAGCGAAAGGUGCUUGCACCUUUCAAGUGAGUGGCGAACGGGUGAGUAACACGUGGACAACCUGCCUCAAGGCCGGGGAUAACAUUUGGAAACAGAUGCUAAUACCGAAUAAAACUUAGUGUCGCAUGACACAAAGUUAAAAGGCGCUUCGGCGUCACCUAGAGAUGGAUCCGCGGUGCAUUAGUUAGUUGGUGGGGUAAAGGCCUACCAAGACAAUGAUGCAUAGCCGAGUUGAGGGACUGAUCGGCCACAUUGGGACUGAGACACGGCCCAAACUCCUACGGGAGGCUGCAGUAGGGAAUCUUCCACAAUGGGCGAAAGCCUGAUGGAGCAACGCCGCGUGUGUGAUGAAGGCUUUCGGGUCGUAAAGCACUGUUGUAUGGGAAGAACAGCUAGAAUAGGAAAUGAUUUUAGUUUGACGGUACCAUACCAGAAAGGGACGGCUAAAUACGUG
rnacentral:rRNA from 1 species